CACUUUGGCUGAAGUCCUCGUGGUUUAAAGGAGAGAACAGUGGAUAGAUCUCCACAGCAGGAGCAGGACUGAAUGAUCCCUGUCCACUCCAACCUGGGGACAGUGCAGGAGGCAGGAAUCUGAACUGCCUGAUGCUUGAGAAGAGUCAUCUUUGAGCUGGCCUGAUGCCCACCUGCUUUAUUCCAGAUGUGGCCAUGGAAAGUCCCUAAGGAAAGCAACCACAGGGAAGAAAGUCUUGCUGGCUUAAUACCUAAAAACAAAAGCAAAGUACAAAAGAAAACAAAAAUCCCAAAGAGAAGGGACUGAUUUUUUAUUAGGACAUCUAAAACAAAGAAAUCAGCUCAAAUUUAGAGAGAGGGUGGCUAGAGUAAACAGUUCAUUAAGGUGCACUCACAAGUUUUCAUCUCAUUCCUUAAUCUGAGAGUCUUUUUGAAGUAAGUACAUGUUCUGCCUGAAUAAGGAACUUGGGUAUUGGUAAAUUAAUUUGAUUUUCCUCUCCAUUA
rnacentral:lncRNA from 1 species